CUGGGAUCUCACCAUAGAACACUGUACCAGGGGGUAUGGGACACCCAACAGGCACUCGUUUUGCUUCAUCGGCUCCUGUGGAUUUUUAGGAAAUGAGUGAAUAAACUAAAUGUUGCUACAGUGUCAUUACUGCAGUACCUAAUGGAUAAUAAAAUUCCACAAAUAAACUAUACGAGAUGAAAACAUAAAGAGAACAAUCGAUCGCUUUUCACGAAAGGUGCUAGUCGUAAUUUUAGAAACUGCUAUCAGAACAGACGCGAUCACCUGUUCAAGUUGCAUUAAUAUUAAAAGACGAGGAGAGCUUUCUUGAAGCCGCGGACGCAGCUCCCUCAUUAUUGUGCUGUAAUGAUAUAAUAAUUCGUUAUACAUACCCUCUUCGUCGCAACUUCCACCGCCAUAUCGCAGACUUCCCAGCCACAAAUUAAACGCUGGCACAAUAUCGUGAUGGACGGUUUGCAUAGAGGC